ensembl:lncRNA
AGUGGAAAUUGUGUGUACAUCCGGGUCACAGAGAGACGCUGUAGCUUCGUUUAUCUUCGCUGACAAAAAAGUGAAUAACAAUGUCUGAUGACGAGGAUGUGGCACCUGCUGUUAAGAAGAGUCGGGUUUUCUAUGGGAGUCUGGAGGAGGAAAGAGAGAGAGCGUCUAAAUGCUGAGAUGGCGAGCAGCAUGGUGACAGGAAGUGAUGCUGUUAAGGCAGGGAUUGAGGCGGGAAACAUAAACAUCUCAUCAGGGGAGACACUGGAGAUGGAGGAGCGGGUCAGCGAGCGGCAGCAGGAAGCACUUGCCGAGUUUGAACGCCGGCGGA